GCUAAUGUGGCUUAAUAGUAGAGCAUUGCAUUCCUAUUCUUCAUAAAAAAAAAGUGGCUAGGUAAAGGUUAUGAGUUUGAGUCUCAUCAUUGGUU